AAAAAGAGUAAAUAUCAUUAAUCCUUCGUCGUUUUCCUCCCGCAGGAUAAGAGUACGCAUGUGCCCUCCUCCUCCUCCUUCGCCAGCGCCUCAAAGAGUGAUGGACGCCUCCCAGAGACUUCACCCUUCGGACUCUUCGGAGCGUCGGCAUGGGGCGCGGAUCGCUUGGGUUACUUGUCACCGUUUGCCUACGCUUACACCAACGGCACUUCGGCAAUGGUAAGCGAGAUGACUAAUACAAGUGCGAGGACAGAGGUAUUGUAAUCUUUCUGAAUUUUGAAGUGUUAUUCAAUUUACAGUUUUAGUUCAUUAUUUUUUGACUUGUGGGGUUGAUAACGGGAGAGUUGGUGAGCGAUCUCACGCGAUAGGCGAACCGCCGGGUGUCUGAUGGGCUUAAAGUGAAACAGCUCUUGCGGGUUCUGCUUGCCCCCUGCCUUCGCCUCGGCGCUAGGUGCGGAGCGAAGGAUACUGGGGAUGAAAAGGAAUGUAAAUGGGCUAAAGGAGGACACGAGAACGCACGCGCAUAUGCACAAGUACACGCACACGCGUACGCAUACGCAUACAUAUACAUAUA
rnacentral:lncRNA from 1 species